rnacentral:lncRNA from 1 species
AUGAGGAAAGAAGAGGCACUUAGCCUGCCGCCCGGCAUAGUAGGGCCUCACCACGCUGCUGCCUGGAUUCUGCGGCCGCCUGGAAAGUCCCGGAGGCUCGGUCUGUGGGUCACUGGAUCCCCAGGGCUGUCCGCAAUCGCUUGCACGCGGCGAGGGGGCAGCCUUCCCGGGAGCGCCUCUGCUCAGGUCUUGCAGGCCUCCUGCCGCCACAAGUGCCCACGGCUUCAGGUCGCGGACCUCCGAGGGAGGGAAAGUCACCUCAUAAUUGUGCCACGCGCGCGCCUGGCUCCGAAGAGCCAAGGAGCAGGCGACGGGGGCCCACGCGCCAGGUUCCCAGGUCCGCCGGAGUUUUCCGAGGUGGGAGUUCCCGUUUCUUGGAUUUCUCGGCCCCGGGUCGCGGCCUCCACCCCGCCGCCCACGGACGGACGGCGAGGCUUUGCUUCCGUGGGGGCGAAGUCUUUCGAAAGCGGGGAAAACGCCUUCGUUUGCUGUCCUCCCGCGACGUGGGCAGGUUCUGAGCGAUUCCUCGGGGGAGCCGGGCCGCGACCUCUAGCGACGUGCACGGGGCAGGAGGUUAAACGGGCGCGUUCGCGGCGGGUCUGUCAGCUGGGAACUCGCUGCGCAGCCGGCACGGGCGGGGGCGACCGUGACACCCUCCUCCCUCUAAGAGGCCCCCCUGGGCGCCCCCCUGACCCCCGGCGCCCCCCCGCCCCCCGUAUACCUGGACACCGCGCGCUCCGCAGGGAAGAGGGGGUCGCGAGUGCCCUCGAGGGCGGGGGCCACCGACCGGGCGUUGCUGCUCCUGCCGCCGCCGCGGGCCCGCGCUGCGUGAGGGGGCGCCCGGCAGGGGGCGCUGCGCACCGCGCGGCCCAGGCUCCCGGGAGGCGGCGGCCCUGGGGCCUCCGUCAGAGGCUCGAGGCCCGCGGGGCGCCCAGGGCCGAGCGAAGCGUCCUCCGGCCGCCUCACCGCCGGGUCGGGCCCGUCUCCGGGCCCCAGGGGUCGCUGCGACGCCUCAGACGCUCUUUGUGUCCACGGCGGCCCGCGCUUUGGGCCCGCGCUUGA